AUCAGGCCCAGCUGGAAGUAAUGUGGGCUAUGAAAGCCUACAAUCACGCAGAAGUUUACUAUAAUCUUCUUUCCUCAGUUGAUCCCAAACUUCUAAAACUAACUAAAUCCGACGAGCAGAUAUAUACUAAGUUCCGGGAAGCGUUUCCAGAGCUCAGUAUUGAAGUCAGCAGACGCUAAAGAGAAAUGGAGGCCCUUUUGUAACCAGUUUGAAGGAGUUGUAGAGGACUUCAACUAUGGUACAUCAUUAUGUCUAGACUGUCAGAAGGACUACACGGAGGUGAACACGAUAUUCGGUAUGUCAUGCCACACCUGCACUCCUUUUAGUAGUUUACACACAUCUUACAAGUGCACAAGAAACAGAUCAAGAACUU